rnacentral:lncRNA from 1 species
AUUCUUUAGUAAAUGGUGAUUAACACAGAUUUUCCCACCCAUUCUGAGAAGUCGAUCUAGGGCUUAGGAUCUGAACAAGUUGCUUUGCAUAGGCUCUGCUCUGAAGACUGAGGUGGGUCUGCCACUCUGUAGGCUGAAACACGAGCUCUGGAGACUGUCAUUUGCACUUGUGUCUAGAAGUGCCUGUCUUCUGACUAUCGUAUUCUUCCAUGGAGCACCGGGGUGGCAGAUCUCCAGGAGAACCCAUUCUGCCUUUCAUUGAGGUUGCCUUCCAUCCUGGAGUCAAGUUCUGCCCAACAUCACAGGAUUUAGUUGCCUCCUUCACUCCUUUUUGGCUACUAGGCUACUAUUCUAUAUACUAAGUAUCGCACUCUGAGUCUUCCUGGCCAAUAUAACUGGAUUGAGAAGCACCUAAAAGAUAGAUCUUUGGAACCUUCAUGAAACUACUUCCAUGUUGGAAUGUGGAAUUUGGGGAACUUGAAUCUGUAUUUCCUGGCUGUGACCACUCUCAUAUUUUGCUCCAGAAUAAACUAUCUCCUAUCUCUUUUGAGGGACCAAAUCCACGCCCUCAUUCAUGAUGCUCAAACCCUCUACCUCCGAGUCACAUCGCGGCCCUGUGAAUGCUUAUUCUCACGAGUGUCCUGAAGCCUCCUGGCAGCCCUGCUCUGUAACUUACAUAAAAGUAAUGGCUGACGUAUUCCACAACCAGAACCAUUGUAGCUGUCUUCAAAUGCUUGAAUGGAGAAGGAUCCUGGGCCUCAGUAGAACAGUGGGAUGAGAAAGCUAACUUAGUUCAUCCAUCUGUGCUUGUCUACCAUGAUACCCAACAAACAACACACCGUUUGCACCAUUUGAAACUGCCCAACACACGAGUCCUCUCUGUAUUCCCCAAACUUCAUUUAUUCCACACAGAAUCUCUGGACUCAUUAAACAGUACCAGUGCCUGGGCCAGCAAGAUGGAUGGCUUGGUGGGUAAAGGUGCCUGCUACAGAGCCUGAGGAUGCCAGCCCAACCCCUGGAACCCACACGGUGGAAGAAAACUAACUUUAACAAGCUGUCUUUUGAUGUCCACAUGUGAGUUGAGGUGUGAGCCCCCCUCCUUAGCUAAACAGACCUAUGUAAUAAAAAAGUAAUUCAAACCAACAACUCUGGUGAUUUUCUGUUUCUGUCUCUCUAGCUGAGUCCACUCAGAUCUACUUCCUGUCUCUGACUAUACCUAUUCCAGGCACUCUGUGCAAUUAUGGAUACUGGUCCUCUUG